rnacentral:rRNA from 1 species
CAUGCUAGUUGCGCGACUUAGAUCGCAGCGGAAGCUCAGUAACACGUGGCCAAACUACCCUGCAGAGGAGCAUAAUCUCGGGAAACUGAGGCUAAUACUCCAUACCGCACUCACGUUGGAAUACCGAGUGCCCAAAACGCUUCGGCGCUGCAGGAUGUGGCUGCGGCCGAUUAGGUAGACGGUGGGGUAACGGCCCACCGUGCCGAUAAUCGGUACGGGUUGUGAGAGCAAGAGCCCGGAGACGGAAUCUGAGACAAGAUUCCGGGCCCUACGGGGCGCAGCAGGCGCGAAACCUUUACACUGCACGACAGUGCGAUAAGGGGACCCCAAGUGCGAGGGCAUACAGUCCUCGCUUUUGUGUACCGUAAGGUGGUACACGAAUAAGAGCUGGGCAAGACCGGUGCCAGCCGCCGCGGUAAUACCGGCAGCUCAAGUGAUGACCGAUUUUAUUGGGCCUAAAGCGUCCGUAGCUGGCCGCGUAGGUUCGUCGGGAAAUCCAUCCGCCCAACGGAUGGGCGUCCGGCGAAAACCACGUGGCUUGGGACCGGAAGGCUCGAGGGGUACGUCGGGGGUAGGGGUGAAAUCCCGUAAUCCUGGACGGACCGCCGAUGGCGAAAGCACCUCGAGAAGACGGAUCCGACAGUGAGGGACGAAAGCUGGGGUCUCGAACCGGAUUAGAUACCCGGGUAGUCCCAGCCGUAAACAAUGCCUGUUAGGUGUGGCACCGACUACGAGUCGGUGCUGUGCCGUAGGGAAGCCGAUAAACAGGCCGCCUGGGAAGUACGUCCGCAAGGAUGAAACUUAAAGGAAUUGGCGGGGGAGCACUACAACCGGAGGAGCCUGCGGUUUAAUUGGAUUCAACGCCGGGAA